rnacentral:rRNA from 1 species
GAACCAACGAAUGCUCUGCAUGUUUAGGUACCUCACACUCGGACGACUCAGGUCGUAACCACUACACCCUCUGCGAGGCCAGUUGUCAUUAACGUUACGCUAACGGAACAGACGUCGUCGUAGACUCGUAAGAUGCCCGUUUCUGUGGGGACUUCGGGGUCCGACCUCCUUCUCUUACGCUCAGCCUUCAAGUAGAUCGCUCGCGGUGGGUACGCGACUGUCCUACUCACGAAACCUUCGUUGUGAUUCUUCGAUACGUCUCUUUUUUUUACUGUGACAGCAUCAAGGAUGAUACCCCUGUUUAAAACUAAGAGAACCUCUUCG